rnacentral:rRNA from 1 species
UACGAAGGGGGCUAGCGCUGCUCGGAAUCACUGGGCGUAAAGCGCACGUAGGCGGAUUGUUAAGUCAGGGGUGAAAUCCUGGAGCUCAACUCCAGAACUGCCUUUGAUACUGGCGAUCUCGAGUCCGGGAGAGGUGAGUGGAACUCCGAGUGUAGAGGUGAAAUUCGUAGAUAUUCGGAAGAACACCAGUGGCGAAGGCGGCUCACUGGCCCGGUACUGACGCUGAGGUGCGAAAGCGUGGGGAGCAAACAGG